GUCACGAACCCCCCCCCCCCGUGACCCUGGCCUGCCUGUUGCCCUGAGGCUGCUGGUGAGCGUGGUGAUCUGAGCUCCAGGUUUUCCCACCUGAAGCACAUCCGCAAUCAGCACACCAGGGCCUCUGCCUGCAAUCAACACGCCUUUAAGAGAUCUGCCAACCUUCCAGUCCCCGCCGGAUCGUUGUACCUAACCGAAACCUGCACAUGCACCACGCGGAUUCCCUCCUGUGCCCCGGAAUCAUCUAAGCUCGGGGACCAGAACCGCAGGCCCUCAGAACAACCACCUCACCCCCAACCUCUCCCAGGUCACCCUUGAGCUCAAUAAACCACUUCUGUACAUUU